AUGGCUCAUGUCCUGGAAAUACCCAGCCUGGCUCCAUUGGGCUGUAAUUAAGGAUGCAGACACUCAGGGCGUGUGUCUUGCACAGCCAGCCAGCCUGGGAAAAUGAAGCCAACUGGGAGAGAGAUUUGAAGGACUCUGGUUCUAGGCAUGCGCACUUCUCCAGGGCAAAGAAGGCUUUAUUUAAACACCCCUAUCUGGUGACUUAGUCCAUUUUCUUUUCAUCUGAUGAUAACAUCUGGCAGCACCCUCAGUUCCCAAGCUCUACAGUCUCAUGUACCUUAUGACGACAAGAUGGUGGGUGGCAACUCCAGGCUUUUAGCCCUUCAUUUUGGUGACCCCGAUGCAAAGAGAGCACUUUUGUCCCCCAGCAUUAUGCCAGAUUAAGUUUGACUCUGUUUUGCCAAGCUUGUGUCACAUGUUUGUUCCUGAGCCAAUCAUAGUGUUCAGGUGGUUUUGUGGCUCUGAUUGGUCAGCCCUUAGGUGUGAGUGAGUCAACCUUACCCCUGUCAAAUGUAUGGAGGAAAUUCCAAGGAAAAUCAACCUGUUGAUACCAGAAGAGGGAGAAAUGGCUGAUAGGCAGGCAAAAAUCUACUGUACUGGUGGUUGUUAGGAACAGAGUAUGGGGCCAGAUAUAGCUCGAUCAAUCAAUGACUGUUUUCUCACCUGUAAAGUGGAAAUAAUAAUAAUGCCUGUUUGAGUUGGAAUGGAUAAAUAAAUGCCACACCUUUUUCUUAACCAAAUUUAGAAACAAUUGAGAAAUUGUCUCAAAAAUCAGUAGGAUGGCAAAUAAAAUGUCAGCUUUAUUACUGAGAAAAGUUCAUAUUGAAUAACAUUCAGGGGCUGACCCUGUGUCAUGGUCUCUGGUAGUGUUAAACAGCCCACAGGACCCUGUUCCCUGACCUCCUGCCCCUCUUGCUAUGUAGAUUGGCUGCUGUAAAACAUAUGGCAUAGACAUCCAGUGACUUUCUUUGGAGAUAGGCAAAUCUCAAAGAGAAGGAUAGGAGUGAGCCAGUCCGGGCAUGCAUGGUUCUUUUGUCUGAACUCCCAA
rnacentral:lncRNA from 1 species